GACGUCAUGGAGAUAACCGUGACGUCGGCAAACAUUUGUUUCAUAUGUCGACGUGACACUUCGGUCGGCAGUCGCGUUACACAUUCGAAUCAUUUCGUGGCUUAUACCUCAAAAUUAACAGUUCAAAGGACACAUCGUUCGCGGCCGCAGGAUGCGUCGCAAGAAUCGACCCGUCAGAUGGCGACGAAUCGUCCGGCUGCGCAGCAACGGCUCCGAACGAACGGCUGAAUAAAAACCGACGCGAAUCCUCACCCCCACCCCCGGCCGCCCCGCGUCACGGACCACAGGACGGCGAGAGACGAGUUAACGACGACGAGCCGAAGCCUCCGGCAAGAAGAAUCCGACGCGAAGCCGGCGAGAAUCACAACGUCGCGGAUUUAAUCGCCGCACAUUUCGCCGGGGGAGAAAUGCGGCGCGCGUCGUCGCGUCUCAAGCGUAAUCGCGACGCCGCUUUGUACCACGGGCGGCUCAAGGCUUCCAGGACUCGCCACGGAUUCCGUCGUGAGGGAAACAC
rnacentral:misc_RNA from 1 species